rnacentral:snRNA from 1 species
GUGCUUGCUUUGGCAGCACAUACACUAAAAUUGGAAUGAUACAGAGAAGAUUAGCCGGGCCCCUGCGCAAGGAUGGCAUGCAAAUUUGUGAAGUGUUCCAUGUUUUU